GACGUAGGAGGCGAGCGCUAUCCGGAUUCACUGGGUGUAAAGCGCGUGCAGGUGGUCUCGUAAGUUGGACGUAAAAUCUCCUGGCUCAACUGGGAGGGGCCGUUCAAUACUGCGGGGCUAGAGGGCAGGAGAGGGAGGUGGAAUUCCCGGUGUAGUGGUGAAAUGCGUAGAUAUCGGGAGGAACACCAGUGGCGAAAGCGGCCUCCUGGCAUAAUACUGACGCUGAGGCACGAAAGCGUGGGGAGCGAACAGG
rnacentral:rRNA from 1 species